rnacentral:tRNA from 1 species
GUCCCCUUCGUCUAGCGGCUAGGACUCCGCCCUUUCACGGCGGCAACAGGGGUUCGAAUCCCCUAGGGGACGCCA